AAGAAAUACAAAGACAAGGUCAGUUCAUCUCACCACCACCACCACUUUGCCCACUGCCUUCAGAAGGUAUGGAAUCUUAUUUACUCUAUUUUGAUUUAGUCUGUUAAAGUUUGUUUCAUGAAUUUGGAAGGGGUGGGUUGUGUGAAUCAUUUGAAUUCUAUCUGUUCUUGUAUGUUGUUUGUGUGUGUUCUUGGGGAUGCUGUGGUUUUAUGAUUCAGAAAAUUACCAUAAGUUCUAUCGAUUAGCUGGAGGCUGUUAAAUGAUUGAUUGUGAUAUUGUAGAGAGAUGAAAGGAUGAGUGGAAAGACGAAAAAGAUGUUGCAGAACAAGGAGAAAAGUAAUGGUGAUGAUAAUAAUCAGAAAGAACUUGUUCCAAAGACUAGUAGUGUUAUUAGUAUAAUUGACGAAAAUAUGUUAUUAUAUGAUAUACUGAACAGAAUCCCUGCCAAGUCACUUAUGCAGUUCAAGUGCGUAUCUAAACCUUGGCGUUCAUUAAUCCGAGAUCCCUGCUUUGUCGAUUUGCAUUUUAAUAGAUCAAAAACACUCCAACGUUUUUUCUUCACCAUUCCACAAGUUAGAAGUGGGACGGAAAAGAAACUUGGGGGAUCUAUUACCAAGAUUAUCGAGCGUAUUUCAAGACCACUGGCUUAUUGUCUAAAGAAAGCGGUAGAGUAGCGUCAACUAUUCCCACCGUAAGGAGGUUGAGGUCGGCUCACUGUAGUGAAAUUAUUGGAGGCCUUAAUACUUUGAUUUGUUUUGUUUACAGCCAGGAUGAUGCUGCUUGCAUAUAUAAUAUUAGCACCGGAGAAACAACCCAGGCUAGCAAAUGGAAAACUUGUUAUAUUGGUUCUCCUACCUAUAGUUUUGGAUACGAUCCUGCCACUAAGAAACACAAAGUCAUGUGCAUGUGGAAUAUGUCACGGAAACAGGGUGAUGAGACCAUAGUUGAUGGCCCAAUUUUUGAGGUCUUGACUUAGGCCAAAGCUCAUGGAGAAAGAUCGAAGCUGCGCCUCCUCAUCAUUUUUAUCGCACUGUAAGUUCCGUAUAUGCGAAUGGAUCUGUUUAUUGGUUCCCAGGUAUAUUUGAGUGUGGAGAUUGGAACAAUGGUAAUGAUGUAUUUAUGGUGGCAUUUGAUGUUGGAAGUGAGAAGUUCAGAACGAUUCAGAUUUUUAAGUUCAGAUCUGUUGAUAGGCCUGCUGACCCCAUCCUAAUUUCAACCGUUGUUAUUUAUUAGAAGUGAAUGGACGUGUUGCUAUAUUCCGUAGAUUUACCGCUGACACUGCCAAGCUAUGGAUAUAUGAAGAGGAUGACAAAGGGAGUACUUAUAAAGCUACAACUAUGGAUUUCACUGACAGGAAUUGGACUGAGAAUACUAUCACGUUACCUGUUCGUUGGGACUAGUGGAAGAAGAGUUGGAGAAGUCAUCUUAUUUAAAAGAUCAUCAGAAGGUUUCUUCUCUGCACUUAUCCCUAUAAAACUAUAUUUGCAGCCUUCAAUCAAAGAGAGCUUUUGAUAUGAUAUAUAAAUUUAUAAUAUUUCUAGAGUGAGAUUUAUUGGCAGACGUAGUCUUUUUUGUUUAUCAUGUAGAUCAAGGCAAAACGUACCUGGAUGCAAAUGGUUGCUGCAGAUUGGUUAAGAUCUGACAAACGAGAAGAUAAUCUUGGGAUGGGAGCAUUGUUCAGAAAUAGGGUGCAUCAUCUCCUGUAAAUGAAGAAAAUCUUUUAUUGUUGAUCUUCAUCAAUGGAAAUGACGCAUAUAGGAAUUCGAGGGGUCAUGGAUAGUAAAGCAAAGUGCUGGAAAGAAUUACUUAGAGGACACUACACCAUUUUUUCCGAUCCGAAAACGUUACGAAUCGGAGUUGUAAUGGUUCAUGACCGUUACGAAAAGGGGUGCCACAAAUUUUUCGCGACGGCCCAGCAGCCAUUACGAAGUUCUUUCGUAACGGCUCUUGUAACAGCUGCGAGCCGUUACUACGUGGCAUGGUCGUAACGAGCAGUCAAAACAUACUGAUGAAAUUACACAAAAAUAUCAAUUGUAGCUGUCAUAAUUUCACUCUCUGAAUACCAACAUACUACAUGAAUAAUGAGAUAUACUUACAA